GCUCCCAAGCAGUGGGAGGAGCCC
rnacentral:snRNA from 1 species